GACCGCCUCCGUCUGCCUUUCCUCUGCUGCCGUCACCGCCAUCUUGUGCCGGACCUGUCUGUGGUGCCCGGCGAGGUCUAUCCGUCGCCAUCCGGCCACAGCCUUGCUGCCUGUUCUCAGGGACUGAGCCCGGGGGACCCACCCCGACAUGAGAGCUAAGUGGCGAAAGAAGCGAAUGCGCAGGCUGAAGCGCAAAAGGAGAAAGAUGAGACAGAGGUCCAAGUAGAUGUCUCAAAAGUGCUACUGAAGCUGCAGAACCAGAGCAUGGAAGGGCGGAGCUUGAAAAGCUGAUUUCCAGAUAACACCUUCUAUUUGCUGCUGCUAGAAGACUCCUUGCCAGUCUUCAGGAGAUUCCAUCUUAAACCUUAGGAGCGGUGAUCUUUCAAGGGGUCUGUGGGCCCCUGAGCUUUACUCUUCUGGACUGAUCUUGUUCUUUGUGGCUUGAUGUAGUGACUUGUAUACAAUAAAAUUCCUUUUUGGGGGGAA